GAUGCAGGUCGCAUUACGUCAAAAAAAUCUGAAUUGGGUCACUUCAGGCUGCAGUGUAAACGCACCCAAGUGCACAGGAAAAAAUAGGAUGAGYCUGAAACAACUAAAGCUGCAAGCAUCCUGAGUGGCAAAGGGGCAAAAUGACCAGCAACCUCCGAUCUCUAUCAGAGCAGGGCGGGUUUUCUGGCCACACCUCUUUGGGAGCAGACCCAAAACCCCAUGGAUCCWUCUUCUGGCCUGCAAGUAGAAUGAAUGGAUGGAUGGAUUGAAAAAAAAUAGGCAUUCAUUGUUUUUUUCCUGUGAAAUACUGAACCAACACCACUGCCAAACUAUAGUUGCUAGUCUAAAUAAAAAUAUKAUUUGCAUUCGA